GAUGAACGCUGGCGGCGUGCCUAAUACAUGCAAGUCGAGCGAACAGACGAGGAGCUUGUUCCUCUCACGUUAGCGGCGGACGGGUGAGUAACACGUGGAUAACCUACCUAUAAGACUGGGAUAACCUCGGGAAAUCGGAGCUUAUACCGGAUAAUCUUUUGAACCGUAUUGUUCAAUAGUGAAAGACGGUUUUGCUGUCACUUAUAGCUGGAUACGGGCUGCAUUAGCUAGUUGGUAAGGUAACGGCCUACCAAGGCAACUAUGCGUAGCCGACAUCAGAGGGUGAUCGGCCGCACUAGGACUGAGACACGGUCCAUACUCCUACGGGAGGCAGCAGUAGGGAAUCUUCCGCAAUGGGCCAAAGCCUGACGGAGCAACGCCGCGAGAGUGAAGAAGGUCUUGCGAUCGUGAAACUCUGUUAUUGGGGAAGAACAAAUGUGUACGUAACUAUGCCCGUCUUGACGGUACCUGAUCAGAAAGCCACGGCUAACUACGUG
rnacentral:rRNA from 1 species